rnacentral:lncRNA from 1 species
UUCGAGGAUGAGCUGGCUGCCCAGAGCUGAGUAGAGAGCUCAUGUCCCCCACCCCACACCACCAGGCACCCAUUGAGUUCCCCGGCCCGUUCCCUCUCUGGACAUUAUGUUGCCCCAUUCUGUCUGAGAACCUCCUUCCCGUGGUGUGUGGCACCCGAAGGCCCUCCUCCAUGGCUGUCACACAGGUUGAAUCCAGUCUCAGAGGGAACCAGUUUGGUUGGAAGUUCAUUUCUCACAGUUCUGGAGGCUGGGCAUCUGCUUGGCAACAGUGUCCUGCUGGUGAUUCUGCCAUUGGAGCCCAGGGAGAAGCCCUGAGGAAGAGAGCAGAUGCCAGUCUGCAGGAGCAAGCAGGGUAGAGAAGGAAGCAUCUGGUCAGCCAUGGGGAAACAUCCAGCUUUCCAGGUGGCUCCUCCAGGAAGAGAUACAAGAACAAGAGAGCAAGAGAGGAUCGUGGCAAGUGGCAAGGAGCCUCUGGACCAUGAUCAAGGGCCAACCCCACUGAAGUGCAAGGUGAAGGAAAGGAGAUGUGGAGGGGAUCUGGAGUGCAGAGCAGCUCUGAGGAAUAAGGUCUCUGCCACAGAGGGUCCAUGGAGGGUCCAUGCUGGAGGAUGUGGCCAGUGUGCCCAGUCAUUGUCUGUGUGCCAUUCAGGCAUCAGGGCUCACAGUGCACAUCGAGUUUGGAGCAAGGUGAAUUAGAAGUCUGGGAGACAAAGGACCAUCUCCGCAUGACUGAUGACUACUCAGGCUAGUGAUGAAUGGGUCUCUAAACCAAACACAUCAAUACCUGUGGGCGUGAGAAGGACAGGGCCUGCCGCCUGCGACACCGUUAAACCCUCUCCCAAGGACUUCGUGUUGAAACAGGCUCCAUAGUUACAGUGUGAUCCCAGGACAAAGAAAUAAAGGUCAGUGAUUGAAGGCAAUUCUUUACCUUCAAAUUAAGACGUG